ACGCGGUCCACCGUAAGGUACGGUGUAUUUAAGUGUUGUCUUGUUGUCCACACAAGUGAUUCUAUAAAUAGAACCCUUGUGUUGAAGCAUUACUAACUUUUUGUGAGUGCUUAACCUAAUUCACAAAAGUUGUGAAACCCUAGCCGCCGCUCUCUAAACCUUGUUCUCUCUGAAUCUUCGUUGGAAUUGGCUAGCACCGGUCAUCGGAGAAGUUCUGUUCGUGUGGACUGAGUAGAGGCAUCGCUGCUUUGCUUU
rnacentral:lncRNA from 1 species